UACGUAUGGUGCAAGCGUUGUUCGGAAUCAUUGGGCGUAAAGGGUGUGUAGGCGGAUAUUUAAGUCAGAUGUGAAACCUUUGGGCUCAACCCGAAGCCUGCAUUUGAAACUGGGUAUCUGGAAUCUGGGAGAGGCAAGUGGAAUUCCUGGUGUAGCGGUGAAAUGCGUAGAUAUCAGGAGGAACACCGGUGGCGAAGGCGACUUGCUGGCCCGAGAUUGACGCUGAGACACGAAAGCGUGGGUAGUAAACGGGAUUAGAUACCCCGGUAAUCCACGCCCUAAACGUUGUCGACCAGUUGUUGGGAGGUUUACCUCUCAGUAACGAACCUAACGGAUUAAGUCGACCGCCUGGGGACUAUGCUCGCAAGAGUGAA
rnacentral:rRNA from 1 species